CAGGUGGGGGUCCUAUCCUGCUGGGGCCUCCAGAAAUGUUAUGUCCGAGGCAGCAGAGAGAAAAUUGGACCCCACUUCUGAUGCAAUCAA
rnacentral:miRNA from 1 species